rnacentral:rRNA from 1 species
ACUCCUACGGCAGGCAGCAGUGGGGAAUAUUGGACAAUGGGCGCAAGCCUGAUCCAGCCAUGCCGCGUGAGUGAUGAAGGCCCUAGGGUUGUAAAGCUCUUUCACCGGUGAAGAUAAUGACGGUAACCGGAGAAGAAGCCCCGGCUAACUUCGUGCCAGCAGCCGCGGUAAUACGAAGGGGGCUAGCGUUGUUCGGAUUUACUGGGCGUAAAGCGCACGUAGGCGGACUAUUAAGUCAGGGGUGAAAUCCCGGGGCUCAACCCCGGAACUGCCUUUGAUACUGGUAGUCUUGAGUUCGAGAGAGGUGAGUGGAAUUCCGAGUGUAGAGGUGAAAUUCGUAGAUAUUCGGAGGAACACCAGUGGCGAAGGCGGCUCACUGGCUCGAUACUGACGCUGAGGUGCGAAAGCGUGGGGAGCAAACAGGAUUAGAUACCCCAGAGUCCC